AGGCUCUGCCUCAACUGCCACAGGAUGGAGCAGAACGAAUGCGAGUGCCCGUGCGAGUGCCCUCUCGAGGUGAAUGAAUGCACCGGCAACCUCACCAACGCCGAGAGCAGGAAUCCGAGCUGUGAAGUUCAUCAGGAGCCAAUGACUUUCACAGCAAUUGAUCCCAGCCUGCAGGAUGGACUCCCACAGUGCAUUAACACUCAGUGCAACCAGAAAACAGAGAGCGGGUAAAGUGGCCUUCUCCAUCCCUCAGAAUACACUGUGUACUUGAAAUAAUUGAGUGCAAAUAGCUCUUCCUUAUGGUUCUGAAUGGAAAAAAAAGGCCUGAUGGCAGAAUGAG